GGCGGCUGCCUGGGCGAGAUCAACAAGUCGGGGCUGAGCUUCGGCUCCGCGCUCGCUGCUAUUCUGUCCCGCACUUCGGAGCGCCCGGAGCCGGGCACCAAGGCAGGACGGCGCCACCUGCACAGCUGGCCUCGCGAUCCCGCCUUCCUUCGUCCCGUCAACAACGUGUGUUGAACGCCUCCUGUGCGCGAGCCGCGGUGCAGGGCACGGUGACAGGCGUCUGAGAUACAGCUGUGAAUCAAACACAAACAUCCGGCCCUCGUGGAGCUGGUUGGAAACAGAUCAUAAACAAAAAAGCGAAAGGAUAUAUGAGGCGGUGACAAGCGCUGGGGGAAAUAAUGAAACAGGAGGAAGGGUCAGAGGGUGGGAGGGGGCAGAUCGGAACUGUAAAUAGCCCUUGCUUUCAUGAGCUUCCAUUCUAGAUUUUAGCGGGGGGUCGGGGGUGGGGGACGGAGGCGGACAAUGAAUACAUCAGUACAUAUGCAAUGUGGCAGGUGGUGAUAACCGCUAAGAAGAAAAAUAAAGCGAGGUAUGGGGAAGAGAGGGUGAAGAGUGAGCUGGUUUAUAUAGUCUGGUGAUUCAUUCAUUCAUUCAUUCAUUCAUUUAUUCAUGUUAAGUUGGACAUCUGGUUAUUGACAGCUUCCUAUGUGCAAGCAGAAUGCCAGGCUCCGUGAAGGGAAAGUCUUCCCCCUGGAGCUCCCCAUCCAGUGGGGGAGGCAAAACCCAUCACAUAAUCCCAGAAAUGAAAACUGGAGGAGGUACCUGGAGAGGCAGGCAAGGGUUCUCUAAGGAUGCCACAGAUGGGCCUUGUGUUUACUCAUUUAUUCUUUCAAAUAUUCAUUUACUGCAUGAUAAGUAAAUAGGUGUCAGCGGCCGGGCACAGUGGCUCAUGCCUGUAAUCUCAGCACUUUGGGAGACUGAGGCGGGAGGAUGGCUUGAGCCCAGGAGUUGGAGACCAGCCUGGGCAACAUAGUGAGACCCAUCUCUGCCAAAAAAUAAAAAAUUAGCUGGGCAUGGUGCUGCUUACCUGUGGUCUCAGCUACUCAGGAGGCUGAGGCAGGAGGAUCACUUGAGCCCAGGAGGUCAAAGCCACUAUAAGCUGUGAUUGCACCUCUGCAUUUCAGCCUGGAUAACAAAGUGAGACCCUGUUGCAAAAAAAAAAAAAGAAAAAAAAAAGUGCCGGGGAUGGGUACAGCAGUGAGCUCCCCUGCCCUGGAGGACAAAAACUGAACAAGAUACAGUGUUCCAACACAGGUUCCUCUCUGGCCCUUUUCUUCCUUUCUAAAAUUAAGGGGUUCAUUUCCAUAAUUUCCAUAGAGUUGCACAUAAUAUUAUUAUAUAUUUUUUACUUGUCCACUUAUCAUCUCCACCAUCAUGACCCUUGUCCAAGGUACCAUCGUCUUGUCUCCCUGCAACCUCCCUGCAACUUGGCUCCCAUCUUGGCCUCAUCCCUGGCUCCCAUGCCUGGCUCCCAUCUUGGCCUCCUACAGUUCAUUCUCCCCAUGGCCACCAAAACAACUGCUACAUUUCAUGGACCAUGAAAUGUUGGACCAUGUUUCUCAUCUGCUUAAAACCUUCCCAAGACUUUCCCUUGCUUUAGACUAAAACCUAAACUUCUGGCCUAUUGCCCUAAUUCAGCCCGCCCCCCUUUCUGAGCUUGUAGACCAGUGGAGGAAGACAGGUAACUAAAAAAGUAAAUUUUUAAAGAGAGAGUUUCAGGCUACAGUGAUUGUUAUAAAGGAAAUGGAACAUCAUGAUGGGGUGGAAAAAGAGAGACCAAGCUGCUAGUGUUACACAGGGUGGUCAGGAAGGGUGUCUCAGAGGAGAUUAAUAGAGAUUGAAAGAUAAGAAGGGACUAGCCAUGGGGAGAAUGAGGGAAAUGCAUUCCAGGUGGAGGAAACAGCAAGUGCAAAUGACCUGGGGUGUGAGAGACAGUGAACAAUCACAUUCCCUCCUGCUUCAGUCUGGUGUUCCUAGGGUCAGAAAGGGUUCUCAGCUGGCCCCUCUGUAAGCCUAAUCUGUUGAAGGCAACUUUUCUCCAGAGAUCUGGGCAUUCCCACAGGAGGUUUCAGAAAGCAAUAAAUCCUUCCUGAUGAGAGGGAAAAAAUGACUCUAUAAUGGUGAAAUUUCCAGGCAUUACUGCAGGCAUUACGGUGCCUUCCAGGUACAGCUAAAAUAACACCUAGAAGUGCGGUUCUUCUCUACUCCAUAUAACCAAGGAGUGGAGAUGCAUGUUUGUUGGGCACCUACUACAAGUAGUCCUCUGAAGGUAUAACAUCCAUCAGCUUCCACAUCUGUAAAUAAGAGAUGAGGUUAUUUAUAGAUGUGGAAGCUAAAGCUCCGAGAGAAGGUGUCUUGCCCAAUAUCUUGCUGGCAAGUGCUGGCACAACCAGAUAUGGGAAUCUCUUGUUUGACUCCAAAAUCAACGGGCUAUCCAAAUACCAGAGCAGCCUCUCUGCAAAGUCCUUUCUCCAUCAGUUCAUUUAUUGAUUAAUGGAAUCAUUCCAGAUGUUUACUGAGCAUCUACUGUGUGCCUCAGCAUGGGUGUUGGUGCUGGGAAUUGAGGGUGAGUAAUUUAUAUGGUCCCUGUCCUCGUGGAGCCACACACCUCUCUUGCCAAGGCCAGGAACAGACAGAAAACCUUGUUACUUGUUUUUCUUCUGUAUUGUUUUUUUCAUUUUUAAAUUCCCUUUUAUCUGCAUUCCCCUCCCACUAGCCCAUAGGAAAUGGUUGUCAUGUGUCAACCGUAUAUUGUUUUGUUUGGGUUUGUUUUUGCUUUUGCUUUUAGAGAUCGGGACUCACUCUGUCAUCCAGGUUGGAGUGCAGUGGCAUGAUCAUGGCUCAUUGCAACCUAAAACUCCUGGGCUCAAGUGAACCUUCUGCCUCGGCCUCCCAAAAUGUUGGGAUUACAGGUGUGAGCCACUGCGCCCGGCCUGUAUAUUGCUUUGUUUGUAUGAGUUCUUGAAAACUGUGUUUGGUGUUUUGUGUGCACUUUAAAACUUGCAUAUAUGGUUUGUGUUAUACAUCACAUUCUAUUUAUUUUUCUCUAAGAUCCAUCCACGUUGCUGUGGGUACACCCAGCCUGCUGCUUGUAAUAGCUGCACAGUUGUUCACGAUGACACAAGUCCCCUUUCCACUGUCCACCCGCUAUGUGGUCACCCAGAAGACCUCCAACUCCCACCACCACAAUGAAUGCAUCCACGAGCAUCCUCCCAUGUGUCUGCUUAUGAGCCAGUGUGAUGAUUUUUUAAAAAAACAUUUCCUGCAGGUUCAGAAUUGACACAUCACAGAGUAUGUUGCACUUAAUUUAACUAAGCACACCCAAGUCUCCCUACAGAUGUCUGUUCCAGGCUGCAUCUCACCAGCAGUGCUUGAGAGUUCCUACAGCUCCACAUCCCAGCCAGCAUUUGGUAUUAUCCAGAUAUGUAGGUUUUGACAGUCUAACACGUACAAGGUAACAUCUCAGUAUAUUUAAAUUUGCAUUUCUCUGAUUACUAAUGAGUCUGAGACUCUCUUCAUAUGCUUAUUGUUCUCUUGUAUAAAUAUCACCUGUGCACAUAGUGGCCCAUUUUUCUAUCAGGAUUCCUGUUUUUUUCUUGAUGAUUUGCAGGAUUCCUUUGUAUAAUGCAGAUUUUAAGUCCCUUGUGGAUUUUAGACAUUGCAAAUAUCUUCUUCUGCUUUGUCACCUACCUGUUAACUUUGCCUAUGGUGUCCUUUAUUAAGCAGAAAUCUUUUUAAAGUGAUCAAGAUAAUCUAUUUUUGGCUGUAUAGUUUGUGCUUUUAAAGUUUUUGUUUGAGUCCUCCCCUGCCCCUAAGUUGCAAACAGUUUUGUUUAUUAAUUUUAUAUUUUUAUUUUUUACUUUAGGUCUUUAACCAAUUGUGUGUGUGUGUGUGUGUGUGUGUGUGUGUGUGUGUGUGUGUGAUUUGGUAGGGAGCCAACUUCAUUCAUUCCCUAUAGCUGGCUAGUUUUCUGAAAACUACCUAUGAAAUAACUUGUCCUUUCCCCAGCUGAUCUGUGGGCCACCUUUGUCAUAUGAAGCCUCUUGCACUCCCCACUCUGCUCCAUUGGGCUUCUUGUGCUUAUGUCACUGUGGUCCUGUUUUUAUUAGCAUGGCUUUAUAGUGAGCUUUAGUGCCUGUAGCCCUUGUCUCUCUUCUUUGUUCUUUUUUAGGGCACACUUGGCUAUUUGUGGACCUUUAAUCCUCUCUACAAACUUUUUAGUAAGUUUGUUAUGGGACAGUUUCUCUUCCCUUGCACUCAUUUCCUAAUCCUGAUCACCAGUUUGCCACCAAAGCCUACCCACAGCUCCUCUACCCAGUGAAACCCCUGAGGAAUGUUGCCAUGGUUAAUACUAAGUGUCAACUUGAUUGGACUGAAGGAUGCAAAGUAUUGCUCCUGGGUGUGACUGUGAGGGUGUUGCCAAAGGAGAUUAACAAUUGAGUCAGUGGACUGGGAGAAGCAGACCCACCCUCAGUGUGGGUGGGCACCAUCCAAUCAACCACCAGUGUGGCUGAAAUAGAGCAGGCAGAAGAAGGUGGGAGAAGCUGACUUGCUGAGUCUUCUGGCCUCCAUCUUUCUUCCAUGCUAGAUGCUUCCUGCCCUGGAACAUCGGACUCCAAGUUCUUUGGCUUUUGGACUCUUGGGCUUACACCAGUGGCUCUCAGGUGUUUGCCCACAGACUGAAGCCUGCACUGUAAGCUACUCUACGUUUGAGGUUUUGGGACUUGGACUGAGCCACUACUGGCUUCCUUCCUCUUCAAUUUGCAGACAGCCUGUUGUGGGACUUCACCUUGUGAUUGCCCUGAUUGUCUUUAUUAAGCCCUGGGUUUCCUGGCCCAAGUUCCUGAGGAGCCUGGGAACUCCAAGACGCAAUGGAAAGGAGGCGAGUCAGCAAAAGGAGGAAAUCAAAGCCACAGAGAUCAAGAGCUAAUUAACUGAUCCUCCUAAGAUAAUGUUUCAUUAAAAUCCAGUUCUUCUGCCCUGUGGGGACUGAUAUCUCUCCUACUGCCUCUCCAUUGCCCUUUUCCACCCAUUCCUGAUCUCAUCUGCCUCCGCUCUGAUCUUUCCCCAAGUCUUCUCCCUCCUCCAAUCCAACCUCCCCCCAGCUACUAGGGUAGACUUUUAAAGGCACAAGUCUGACCAUGUCACUCCCUAUUUAUAAGUCUUCACCACUCAUUGCCUGAGACAAAGGGCAAACUCCCAAGAUAAGGCAAAGGCCGUUCAUUCAUUUAACACAGAUUUCCUCAGUGCCUCUCCUCUCUCACAAGCUUGGGGAUGGUAGGACACAGAAACAAGUUUCUGACCCUUGCCCUGUUUCUCCAGCUUCUUUACCCACCACUCCUUUCCACAUUCCUGCAUUUCAGCAAAAACUUUCCAACCUCCGGCUUAGUGAUAGCCAGUCCCUAGGGAAACUGUUGUUAGUAUCCAUGCUUUGCUCAGCUCACUUCCACAUUGACUCUGGGCUUGGCCUUGUGACUUGCAUUUACCAGUGGAAUGUGGUGGCAGUAAUGCCAGUUCCAGGCCUAAGCCUUGAAAGGGUCGGGAAGCUUCUGCUUUUGUGCUCUUGGGAGCUCUGAACCACUGUGUAGGCAGCCAGGCUACCCUGCUGGAAGGGACCAUGUGGAAAAACCACAUGGAAAGUGAGAAGCCCUGCAAUUACAUGGAAAGAGACCAGAGGCUCAGCCCUCCCAAUGUUACAGCUGAAUGCAGCCUUCCAGCCAUACCUACCAAGGCACCAGGCAUAUGAAUGAAGUCGUCGUGGACGUCCCAGCCUCACCUAACAUCUGACUGCAGCUGCAUGAGAGACCCCCAAGUGAGAGCAGCAGCAGAACCAUCCAACUAUAAGCCCCAUUCUCUUUCUAUUAGUUCUUAUGAGAGCUAUUCAUUCUCAUGAGCUUUUUAGAAAGUGCCAACCUGGCUGGGCACUGUGGUUCACGCCUGUAAUCCCAGCACUUUGGGAGGCUAAGAUUGGUGGAUCACCUGAGGUCAGGAGUUUGAGACCAGCCUGACCAACAUGGUGAAACCCCGUCUCUACUAAAAAAAUUACAAAAAUUAGCCAAGCGUGUUGGCAGGCACCUGUAAUUCCAGCUACUCAGGAGGCUGAGGCAGGAGAAUUGCUUGAACCCAGGAGGUGGAGGUUGCAGUGAGCCAAGAUCAUGCUGCUAGACUCCAGCCUGGGCAACAGAGUGAGAUUCCAUCUCAAAACACAAACCAAAAGCGCCAAUCCACAAAGACAUGAGAAAUAAUAAAAUAGUUUUGUGUUAAGUCACUACAUCUUGGAGUUGUUUGUUACACAGCACGAGAUAUCUGAUACAGAGGCCUUGCUCCUGCUAUUUCCACAGCUUAGAAUGUUUCUCCAACCCCAGCCAUCUUCUUUACCCCACAUGGUGAACUCCUAUUCACCUUUCAGAGCCCAUAUUCAGCAUCACCUUCCCUGCCUCCCAUAGUCUGAGUUAAUGUCUCUUUCCUCUGGGAAACUGUAUGAGACUAACCUACAAUACUUAUUUUUCUGUUUCUUCCGCUGGCUAUGAAUGACAAUAUUUACUCAUGUAAUGCUCACAAGAACCCU
rnacentral:lncRNA from 1 species